AACAAACGCUGGCGGCGUGCCUAAUACAUGCAAGUCGAACGGGGAAAGCCUUCGGGUGAGUACUAGUGGCGCACGGGUGAGUAACACGUGGGUAAUCUGCUUUAGAGUGGGGGAUAACCAGUCGAAAGAUUGGCUAAUACCGCAUAAGACCACAGGAUCUGCGGAUCUAGGGGUCAAAGGUUUUUCGCUCUAAAAUGAGCCCGCGCGGGAUUAGCUAGUUGGUGAGGUAACGGCUCACCAAGGCUACGAUCUCUAGCUGGUUUGAGAGAACGACCAGCCACACUGG
rnacentral:rRNA from 1 species